UACGGGAGGCAGCAGUGGGGAAUAUUGCACAAUGGGCGAAAGCCUGAUGCAGCGACGCCGCGUGAGGGAUGACGGCCUUCGGGUUGUAAACCUCUUUCGCUCAUGGUCAAGCCACAGCUUUGGGUUGUGGUGAGGGUAGUGGGUAAAGAAGCGCCGGCUAACUACGUGCCAGCAGCCGCGGUAAUAUGUAGGGCGCGAGCGUUGUCCGGAAUUAUUGGGCGUAAAAGGGCUUGUAGGCGGUUGGUCGCGUCUGCCGUGAAAUCCUCUGGCUUAACUGGGGGCGUGCGGUGGGUACGGGCUGACUUGAGUGCGGUAGGGGAGACUGGAACUCCUGGUGUAGCGGUGGAAUGCGCAGAUAUCAGGAAGAACACCGGUGGCGAAAGGCGGGUCUCUGGGCCGUUACUGACGCUGAGGAGCGAAAGCGUGGGGAGCGAAACAGGGAUUAGAUACC
rnacentral:rRNA from 1 species